GACGAACGCUGGCGGCGUGCUUAACACAUGCAAGUCGAGCGGUAAGGCCCUUUCGGGGGUACACGAGCGGCGAACGGGUGAGUAACACGUGGGUGACCUGCCCUCAGCUCUGGGAUAAGCCUGGGAAACUGGGUCUAAUACUGGAUAUGACUCCACGGUGCAUGUCGUGGGGUGGAAAGCCUUGUGCGGCUGAGGAUGGGCCCGCGGCCUAUCAGCUUGUUGGUGGGGNGAUGGCCUACCAAGGCGACGACGGGUAGCCGGCCUGAGAGGGCGACCGGCCACACUGGGACUGAGACACGGCCCAGACUCCUACGGGAGGCAGCAGUGGGGAAUCUUGCGCAAUGGGCGAAAGCCUGACGCAGCGACG
rnacentral:rRNA from 1 species